rnacentral:lncRNA from 1 species
CAACAUGUCUGCACUGAAGCCUCAACCUCAGUUUUUGUAGGGAACGAUCAUAUUUUAACCCUAGCAGGGUGCCACUUCACCUUGACUCCAGACUUGAGGUGUUUCAGAGGAUCCUUGAGCGCCGCCAUUCGAGAGGCUACCAUUUAGGUCCAUGGCCUUCUCCAUGCACAGGAAAGAGCACUGUAAGGUUCUACGAACACGGUGACUCUGCCUGGCUUUACAGGCACCAGGCACUGGUUCUGACCUCACUCUCCUGGCCUUUGGUGUGGGGAAAGAGCCUCCAGCCAGGACAGCCACUGCGUGAGGUCACUAAGAUGAGAAGAUUGAGGCCUGGAAAACUGAAGAGCCUGUCCAAGACCAGCUAAUUAUCAAGGCACAGAGGAAGCUCACAGCCACAGGGAUCAACUUCCCGGCUUCCCGGCUUCCCUCUGCACAGGAGGCUCUUCUCCUGGCCACCCUGAAGGUCCAGUUCCCUUCAGAAUGCUCUGGUGACAUUAAAACUCAGAUGUCCUGAG